rnacentral:rRNA from 1 species
UACGGAGGGUGCAAGCAUUGAUCGGAAUUAUUGGGCGUAAAGGGCGCGUAGGCGGUUAGGAAAGUCAGAUGUGAAAUUCCGGGGCUCAACCUCGGAGCUGCAUUUGAAACUUCCAGACUAGAGUUCAGUUAGGGAAAAUGGAAUUCCACGUGUAGCGGUGAAAUGCGUAGAUAUGUGGAGGAACACCGGUGGUGAAGACGGUUUUCUGGGCUGAUACUGACGCUGAGGCGCGAAAGCAAGGGGAGCAAACAGG